UGAUAAAUUAAAACAAAUUCCUUUGCGGCCAUUGCGGUGUGAGCUGUGGCGCUCAUUGGAGACAGGUGUGCACCGGGGAGCCACGAAGGGCACGCAGGUGGACUAAUGGCCACCAGCAGCAAAAUGGCUUUUCACUGCCACAGGAGCAGCAUUCAAGGAAAGAGCUCAGAAGGACCGGGAAAAGGAACAAUUCCACACACCAAGUGAAGACUCAAUGGGUGCAAAGAGUUGUCUUUGCAUGUAAAUGGUGAACAGGAGGGGCCGGAGUACUGAGCUUUGCGGUUUGCCUCGGUUGACUGUGGCUACGGAAGGGUUGCGUGGCGGUAGGUCCGAUUUGUAAUGAGGGCAGGCGUGGAAAGUGUCGGUAGAGUUGAUGGUUGCACGCGGUGGUUUGGUUCAGUGGUUGUUGCGAAGGAAGGAAGGAAGGUCGAGACGGUCCGCAGGUUGUUCGGCUUGUCUCGGUCCCGAGCAGCUCUCGGUUUUGCGUUGACGUGUACAGUGCAGGCUUGGAAUGAGGAAUUUAUCGUAUUGAUCAACACAAAACUGAAUAGAAUUUCAGGGUGAAGACCAACAAUUGUAGACAACCGGCACGCAGUUCCAAGAUGAACAGCUUCUUCUCCUUUGA